GCUGGAAUAGCUCAGACGGUAGAGCGCGUCAUUGGUAGUGACGAGGUCACGGGUCCGAUUCCCGUUUUCAGCU
rnacentral:tRNA from 1 species